AAGUCUGGGAUGCUGGAGAGGGUGACCAGAUGGAGACAUCGUAGGCACUAACCCCUCUCUUCUCUCCCAG
ensembl:miRNA Mir7020 microRNA 7020